rnacentral:lncRNA from 1 species
GUUUAACUAUGUAUUAUGUAGUUUAAUCCACACCUGUUAUGGAUGCAUCAUAGUGAUUUCCCACAAGUUUUUUUUUUUUCUAUGAUUUCUCAUUGCAGAUAUAAAGGGCAACGAACAAAUUGAAAAAAAUCUUCUUGCAGUUUGGCUUUUGAUACUGGCAGCUCAAGAAUGGACAGAAAACAAGGAAAAUAUGUAGUGAAUGUUGAACUCUCUGGAAAUCAGCCGGUGAGUAUUUUUGCUUCAUUUUGAUAUUUGGCCAAUAUUAUAGUAUCAUUUUCAGCAUUUACAAGCUAUUUAGUCUCUUUAUUACUAUAUUGGCAAGGUCAUAGUUUUAUAUUCUUUUCCAAGAGGAAGAGUGGACUUAGAAAGAUUUUCUGCUCCAAUUUUCCUGAUAUAUUUUUUCUAUAUUAUAUUUUGACAGUAUUUGAAAUCUUUAUAGAUGUAAAAUAUUAGGGAUGUUUCUAUGCCUGUGUGAUAUACAAGUAAACCCAUUCAACUUUCUGCAUUCACUAUCAUAUGAACAUAAAACCCAAAGAUGUUAUUGUUUGUUAAGUUAUAUAUAUAUUUUUUCAAUUUGAUGCUUAGAUUUUUAUAUAUAAUUCCUGGACCUGUCAGAAUGCAUAUUUCUACAUAGACUGGAAAACCAGAUGUUAAUCCUAGAUAUAGCCUUUAGGCCCAAGAAAUAAAUCGGCUAAAAAUACCUGCUUCUGGGCUGGGGUUGUGGAUCAGUGGUAAAGCGCUCGUCUAACAUGUGUGAGGCCCUGGGUUCGAUCCUCAGCGCCACAUUAAAGUAAAUAGAUGAAAUAAAGGUAUUGUGUUCAACUACAACUAAAAAUAUAAAAUAAAAUAUUUAAAAAUACCUGCUUCAUGGAAAAAUAUGAUCUACAUUUUUUUUAGGCAAGUAUUCUGUCCCUGAGCUACAUCCCCUGUCUUCUAUGUUCUUUCUUUAUUUUUUAAAAUGCUUUAAUACCAAGAAUUAAGCCUUCAUUGUAUAUUCUUCACAAGUGCUUGUAUUUAUUUGGUUAUGACUGACUAAGUAAUCCUUCAUGUCAGUAAAAGGAAGAGCAUAGUUUUGGAAGUUUAACUCCUCAUUUUAAAAACGAGAAGUUAACAUUUCAUUGCCCAAAGAAUAUGUGAAAAUUAUGUGAAGAAAUACUUGGCCUUUGCUAUGUGGAGCUGUGGCAGCCAGUCUGCACUGUCCUGAGAUAAACCAGGAAGGGAGUCCAGUGUCCCACCAAGUGACAGUUGAAUGAAAGAGCGUGGCGGGGGACUCCUGGUUCAGCACAAGAGCAGAGUCCAUCUUUUUGGAUCAUUAACCAAGGGACCCUCCUGUGGAUGUUCUCUUUCACUUCUGAAUUGGACACUCUCUGAAUCUUUAAGAUGCCAAAUACUGAGAGGGGGUUCAUCAUCUCGGUAAUUUCUCUAGAAAACAGCAAACUUGAAGUUGUUUACAAAUAUUAUCUCAAACCUUUUUUACAGUACAUCUGGAUAGCUGACUGCCUGUUUCACUUUAUUAUAGAUACCUAGAGAGAGCUAUACAUUUUUAUCUUAAGACCAAAUUCCAUAAUGAGAUUUGAAAGUUAUUGGAAGGUUACAAAUAAACAACAUAAAUUUUGGUGUUUUGGUUUUCUGUGAGGCCUACAUGAGAUCUUAAUCCUUACAAAAUUAGGGGGAAAAAUAGCUUACUAAAUUUCCUUUGGUAAAUACAGUGAAUGCAUUUCAGUUGCCUAUGGCUAUCAUUAGCUAAUUGUGAUUUUCCUGUUAUACAUUAUCCAGAGCUCUCCACAUGGAGCAAUUUUGUUAAGAGACUCCACCUAUACUACGAACCAGAGCAACUCCAUAGAAUGAGAUCAUCACCCAGGCUGCACUGUCACUCCAAAGCUGGGCCCAGAUCACAGGAUCAUCACCCUUGGUGUAGACCCACCCACUGCUUUCCUUCUUUGAAAGGGCUGGGAUUCUGACAGGGCCAGAAAAUUCUGGAAAACUAGCCUGGUGAUUUGAGUUUUAGUUUGUUUACAAAGUGCAUUGAAAUGUCCAAGUUCACUAAUCAUAGGCAAACUAAAUAUAACUAAUGAAUCAGAAUCAGCCUGUAGGAAAAUGAGUAAGGUUGUUAAUAUAGGUGUGUUCAACUUUCUUCAAAUGUGCUUAGUGAGCAACAGGUGGGUUUUGUUUAAUUUUCUUCAUUAAAAGACAGAACUAUUAUUUAUUUCAUUGACAUAACACUUCAGAAAAAAUUAACUUAGCUAAUUUUUUCUUGCCAACAGUAUUACAUCUUAUUUAUACUUAAUGACAAUUAUAUUCUUUGUAUUUUUAAUGGUAGUUACUGAUGAAUCAAUGACUAUAUACAAUUCUAGUUUGAUUGUUUUAGUGUGUGUGUGUGUGUGUGUUUUCAGUUUGACAGUUUUAAUGGAACUCAUUGGUUGGUUGACCUACAAUUUCUCUAGCUACUUAGUAACGGGUUACUGAAUCAUGAUCAAAAUCUACUUGUGGUUGUAGCAAUAGUAAUAAAUGUUCUAAUGCUGCUAAGGACAAUAAUGAUAGUACUGUGUACCCCAAAUUGCUUUUGUCAUUUUGUAAUUAUUGACUUAUUAGUCAUCCCAGCAAUUUUACAAGUGGUUAAUCUUUUGAAGAGGAGCAAAGAGUGGCAAAGAUGCCUUUGAUUCACAGUUAGAAAGUGAAUGUUAUCAUCUUAGGAGAGGAAAAGGCCCAGGCAAUUCUGCAUCGUUUGGGAGAUGUAAUGACACUUUUGUCCAAGAUGCACAGACCUGCUCUCGUUUUCACUUUGUUCUUCCCUAUUUUAACCCUUCUCUUCCCAAUAUCUUCCCCACCAAACUCACUCAUGGUCAACCCUUAUUCAUCCUUUCCUCUCUACAUUAUUUUAUAGUUAUGCUUUUGUUAAUUAUACACAAUUUCUUUUUAUUUCCUGUUUGUCAGCAAAUAAGUUCCUUGUGAGUAGAGAUUUGGUUGUUGUGAAGUCUUUUUUAUCUGUUUUAUGCCCAGGAGGAGCCCAGUGAAGAUAUAUCACGACCUGGACAAGUGUCUUGUCAUUAUCAUGGAUCACAAGCUCCAUUGGACAGAUACACACACACACACACACACACACACACACACACACACAUAUAUAUAUAUAUAUAUAUAUAUAUAUAUAUAUAUAUAUAUAUAUGGUUCAGUGUGGCCUUAACACUGGCAGGUCUGGGCUCUAGUGCUUGUGUCACGAUGAUAAAUCACUUCAACUCCUUUUUCUUCAAUAUUCCUUUUCCAGAGGACCUGAGCAGGUAGUACCUGAAAAGCUGCAAGGACUUUUUCAGCUCACCCAUCCUAUAGCUUAUAGAGCAAUCUAGAUGCCCACCCACAGCAGUUUGCACCAUGAGGAUAUUUACUGCAUUCCUGAAGGGUGGUGAGGAAGAGGGGAUGCUGUGCAUUCCUUGGCUGAAACAUUGGUAACUUAGAAAAAUUAGUCAAAAUGUAAUAUGUAAUAAUCCACCUGGAGUUCUUAAUUCUCAGAGGUUAAGAAAACAUUUAUUCUUUUAAAAAGUCACAUUUGUUUACUUUUGGGAGAAGAGUUCAAUUUUAGAAAUUCAAUACCAUGGCUUCCUAUUGACUUAUGCUUCAUCUUUGUAGCCAAGCACGUGUCCAAAUGACCAACAGGCUCAUAGUUCCACAUCCUUGUGUCCACCUUCUAAUGACGUAACCGCUGAUGGCUCCUCCAGCUUAUCUGGGGUGUGGGUGAGCCCAGGAAUCACUGCUCAUUCACAAUGCCCACACCCAGAAUUAUCCACUAUACAGGUAAUGUUGGAGCUUGUUCUCAGUUUGGAAUGUGCUGUAUGUAGCAAUGUACUUGAUCUGCUCUUUUCUAGGAAAUGGAGUCAAUUAAUUAAUUGUCUACAUUCAUGUUAAUGUUUCGUAUAAUUACAGGUAACAUUAAGGCAAUUUAUGGUAAGUCCCUGUUUUCAAAGAGCUAAUGUUCUAGUUUGGAAUUAAAUUUACAAUAGAUAGAAAGCAUAUAUGAAAGAAAGUCAAAGAAAAACAUGUAAGGUACAAAUGCACAGUUGGGAAGUGGUAGGGGAACAUACAUAUUGGUCCUCUAAGGUUUAAGUCACUAAUCACACUCUCAUAGAAAACUCUCCUAUUUAAAGCUUAUGGAUCUGACUCUGUUGGUGAUUACCUUAUUUUCUUAGACAGUUGCAACUUCUGAACCUGUGUAUGGAAUCUUAUUUAACUUUCAUGUGACCUUAUAUGAUGAUCUUGACAUAGAAGUCUAUCUUCUCUGAAGCUUCUGCACCAGCUUUGGAGUCUAGGCUGAGUUCUUCUUGGUUCCUAACCUCACAUCUGGUUGACAGAACUAACUUUUCCUCAUGACUGGCUUUAGCUUUUAUAUAGCAACUUGACCUUGACUAUAAAUCAUUGAUUUCAUUAGACCAUUUGGUUGGGUUUUGUGAAAUUUCUACUUAUCCCUGCUUAAUCUUGCUGUAGAGGCUCAGAAGAGUUUGAGUCUUUCUUGAUCCUGGAUUAAAACUAUCAACUCUUUAUAUUGCUUCUGGGGCAAUGUGAAAGAAUGAAUGAAGUCAAUAGGAUGUAGUUAUAAAAUGCUUCUUUUAUGUUUGUAGAGGUUAUUAAGUCAUAUUAACCAUAGAAUUGAAAGAUAACAAUGGUCUACUGGUUCUUAAUGCUAACUGCAUGAUAGAAUCACCUGGAAACUGUUUAAGACAUGCCAGUGCUUCAGCUGCACUGUAGACCAAUUAAAUAAGAAGCUGGGGGUGGGUGCCAUGAAGUUAUAGUUUUUAAAAACUUCUCAGAUGAAUCUGAUGUGAGCCAGAGAUAAAAAUGACUGAUGCAGGUGUCUUCCAUCAUUAAGUCACAGGGGAAACCUGCCCAAAGAGAGUCAAGAGACUUCCAGAAUCCACCUAGGUCUUGUUUUCAAGGUGCCAAAACAGGAGAGGAGGUUGGGUUUUCCAUUGUUUGUGUGCAAUUUACUUCAUGAAAGUCCUCAAGUGUGUUUAAGGCAGUGUUAGAGGCUCCUACCUGAUGUACAUAACCUUCAGUUAUGUAAUUAUUAAAAGUACAGAAUCAUUAAUAAAAUACGUCACUAAUUUACAUUUUUCAGAUUUUCCCAAGAUUUACUAUUUUCCCCAAGAUAUGCUAUUUUCUUAUUAACUAAUGCCAAACUAUGUAACCAGACUCUAAGUCUCCUAACCAAUCAUUAACCUAAAGUACACUUGCACUUUAUUUCUAAUCUAAAAUUCCCAUCUAAAAAAGUCCCCUUAAAUCUUAUAUUUAAAACAUCCUAAAGUUUAUAAAUAUUCUCAAAACAUAUCAGAAACCUAUACAACUAAAAACUUAAGAAUUUUUAAACUUAAGAAUCUAAAUAAAAUAAUAUUUCUAACAUUCUUCUAAAACUGUGUCUUAUAAAGCUAUUUUAAUUAAUUCCUAAAUUUAUUCUCAUAAAACUGGUUGAGCUGCUUUCUCAAAGAGUUUCUUUGUUUCUCAGUCAAGGUGCACUAGUUCUCAUAUCUUUAUAAUCUUUCUCAAUAGAAAGUAAGUUCUAAACAUCAAUCCACUUUCCACCAAUAUUAACUAUGCUCAUCAUAUAUCCCUAUGUAAAGUAAGAAAGGGUUUAUAAAAAGAGAAGAAUAUAUCUUUAUAUGUUUUAACUUUCCUAAGUGUAUAAUAUAACUUUCCUUAAUCAAAAAUGAGACUGCAUGGGGUGAACUUUGUAAAAUAAGCAUAAUGAUUAGAUUUUCUAAGAGGCAGGAAAUAUGGGCUUGGGUUCUAGUUGAUAUAAUCAAUGUGGUGCCUAAAAUUCUCAUGACCUUUCAAAGGAUGAUUGUUGUCCAUUAUCAGAUUUGUCCACAAUAUACUGAGAUAGAAGAACAGCCUUCUACUUUGUCCUUGAUAUGCUGAGGGGUAGUAGAACAGCCUCCAAGGCAUGAACUUCCUGUUAUGUUCUAGCCAUCUGAAAUUUAAUUUGUUUGGCUUUUAACAUACUCAUGCCUCCUGUCAGAAACAUAAGCAUGAAAAUGAAAAGUCCCAGUUACAUAAAAAAGGGUCUCAUGGUUUCGACUUCCCACCAACCAGUGUGGCUUUGCCAGCGUUCAUCCUCACUGUGACCCUGUCAAGACAGUGGGAGAGCGGCUUGGCCAGCACUUUUUCUCACUGUGACCCUGUCAAUACAGUGAGUGGGGGAUCGCCUUCACCAAAGGCUGAAAGUGGGUAAUGAGCCCCCCAAAGGAACCGAUGAUUCUGGGGAGUUUGGAAGACACAAAAGAGAAUGGAGUGUCUCAGAAGCAAAAAGAAAGACAUGUUGUAAAACAGAGGAGAAGGGAUGGUGUCCAGGGGCAAACGCGGUGGAGGACUUCAGUAAGAAGAGCGCUUACACGGGCAUUUAGGCUUUAGUGGAUGAAUAUAAUUGGUGACUAUUUCAGUGGCCUGAUGGGAGCAGAAGCCCAACCGGAUUGGGCUGAAAAGUGUGCCAAUGGAGACACUGCAUUCAAAUGACUCUCAGGAAAUUUUGGUUUUCAGAGAAAGAGAAAGGGUUGUUGGAGGGUGAUUUGGAAUCAAAGGAGUUUUUUUUCUUUUUCUUUUUUUCUGUAAAGUAGCUUUUGUUUCUUUGGUAGUUUGUUUGGAGUGUGAUUAAAUGUGGAAAGUGGUGAAGAAAUUCUAUCCAGGGUAAUCAAAAGAGAAAAUCUGCUGGGAAGGGCACAGGGGAUGGAACCCAAAAGACAGGUUGGAGCACCAGCUUCAGAUGGUAGAGGAUAGCUCUUCUGUCAACCAAGAAAGAGGUGAAGUCCAGGUAGCUUAGGUUUGCAGGUUUGGUAGUUGGUGGAGUUUUCAUUUGAUGGGUUCAAGUUUUCCAAUGAAGUAGGAAGGAGGGAAGAGGAAAGCCAUUUGAUUGGAAUGGGGAGGGAUGAUUUGUGCACGGGGAACGAUGGGUGGAGGUUACAGGUUUGAAGAGUGAGAAGAAGACUGAGGACGUACUUGAGAUUUGAGGGAGUAUCUUGAUCCAAGAUCUGUAAGGGGGUGUCAGAGCAAUGCAAAAAAUCCUCUUGAGGAGGGGAUCUGCCCAGGUGCUUGGCUUUUCACAACAGUGUGACUGCUCCAAAGUCCAGAGAAAGUAAAUCAUCAUUUAUUUGCCAGCCAGCGGAGAUGAAAAGAGGGAAAUACAAGAGACUUCAGGGAAUCACCAAGAGUGCUAUUAAAUAAUGGAACAAAAUGUGGACAAGGAAAGAUGUAGUGAAGUACUAACCACUGAACCAAAGGUUUUUUUUUUUUUUAAUCAAACUAAAGAAAGGUCAUCAUGGAAUGGCUGGGUGAACAAGCUGGAGAGAGAGGACAUGGUGGUUAGGAGACAAAAUUCUUGAGGAAGUGAUAGAUAUUGGAAGUGGAGCAGGGUUUGGCAUUGAGUGGAGGAUCAAGUGUGUGAAAGAGAAUUUACCAUUUAAAAAUAUUUGUCUGCCCACAUGAAAAGUCAACGGACAGUGAUGGAGGAGGAAGGAAUAAGUAGAGCAUGGGUGAUUUUUAAGGCAGUGAAACUACUUUGUAUAAUGUUGGAUAUAUGUCAUUACGUGUUAUACAUUUAUAUUUUUCCAAAUCCAUAAAGUGUUCCAUACCAAGAGUGAAUCUUAGCAUAAACUAUGGACUCUGGGUGAUAAUUAGUUGCCAAUGUGGAUUCAUCACACAUAACAAAUGAACCACGGUGCAGGAUAUCGAUAAUGGGGGAAGUUAUGUACCUGCAGGGGAAGGGUGUGUGUAGAUUAUCUAUAUACACUUGACUCUGUUUUCCCCUGGAUCUAAAAUAGCCCUAAUACAUAAGGUCUAUUAAAAUAAAACAAACAAACAAAAAAGGAAAAUAGAAUAACAGAAGAGAUAUUGGCAGAUUUGUCUUUUUUCUAAUGUCCGGGAAAGCAUGGCGUUUCUUCCACCUGGAUGAACAUCUGGAUGUUUUUAAAGUCUAAACUCCAGAGUCAUAUAGUGAUUAAAACAAAGUCAAUACAAUACAUUGUAAGUUGUAAGUAGCACAAAAAGGAUGACCCAUUGCAAACAUUUUUGUCUUUAUAAGUGAUAUUUUGAUUCACACUCUUCUUAGGUGAAAGGAAAUAGCGGCAGUGACUGGUCUCUGUGGAAAGUUUUCCUGGUCUGCCUCUUAGCCUGUGCGAUAACAACAGCAAUUGGAGUCCUCGUAAUAUGCCUGGUGAAUAAUCGAGGAAGUAAUUCCUCCGUUGUUAUCCAGCUACCCACAAACAGUGGAGGGGUGGUAGAUAGGGAAUCUGGAACAGCCUCUACUACUUCCCAACCUACAGUGACCACCACUUCAACUGAACCUUCAACUAUCACCACUUCAACAGAAUCUACAACCACAACGGUCACAACCAGUUCUUCAACUCAGCCUUUAACCACAGCACCCCUCACCACAACUUCAAGUAGAACCAGAUAUAUCACCACUGCCACAGAAUCCAUGGGUACGGUGGCUCCUCCAUAGCUAUUAUUUGAAGAGCCACAACCAUCACUUCAUAGGAAUCUACCCUCUCUACCCGACAACCUAGCUCACAACCACAGCAGCUACUCCUACCCCUUGAAGUUGAACAACAGCUGGUGCCACUUUAUCAGACUUGCUGUUGUGACUUCAUAGCACCAAAUGCUAGUGAAACUGAUGCUUAGCUGACAGCCAGAUCCUCACCUCCACCAUCUUUUCAACGAAACCCAUGGCUACCUGUGCUUCAAGUGAAAGUACAGCUACUACCACAUCCACUUAACCUACAACUACAGGAACUUCUACUUACUCUACAAUAAGUGUUGAUUACCCUCACUAGGAAUCACAAAUGCCGCCAUUAACAUUUUAACCUUAACUAAGUUACUAUCAGUCACCAGAACAAUCUCUUCUAUCUCAUUAACCUUUAGUCAUUACAACUACAAAUUAGCCUAAAAUUAUUCCCCACAUUGACUUUUCUGAGAAUUUAUAUUGGACUACUUCUUCUACAGGAGCUGAAUCUGUAUCAUUGCCAUUACUAAGUUACCAUGAUGCCACCAUGGACCAUGGAUAAUGGAAUAAUUACCCCAAUUUUUAUGAAGUCAACAAUUAGGAUUUAUAAAAUUAUUAAAACUGUUUUAGAAUAAUAGCAGUUAAGCUAUAAGAAUCUGAUCUUGGUUCUCUAGUUCCAAAUAAUAUAUAGCUUUAUAUAAAAAAGUGACUAUUUGUUUGCUAGAAAUCAUCCUGAGAUUUUAUAUAAAAUGUUAUACUAAAAUUAGCCAUUUGGAUUUUAAUAUAUAUUGGUUUCAGUUCAGAACGUUGCAUUUCUGUGUACACAAAUUACAUGCAUAAUGAACAGGGAUUUCAUAUGCAGGGGAUUUAAACAAAUUUAUACAGAAAAAUGUUAGAAUUUAUAACAAUUAUUUCUUCUAGGGUGAAUUUUGUUAUGUUUUUUUCAAUUUCUGUUUAUAUUGUAACUUGCUUUUAAUCAAUCAUAUUCAUUUUUGGACUAAUAUUACUAAAAGUGCAUUUGGGUUUUUAAAUUUGUAUUUUAAAUUACUUUCUGCAAUAUUGUAAGUCACUCAAUUGACAUUUCUUGAGUCACGGCUGGGUACUACAGCACUGAAAAGGUAUACCAGAAGAAAAGAAAAUGCACAUUAACUAAUAAAUUCAUUAAUUUAGAGUGUUAAUAUUUAAUUCUUAAUGACUUUGGAAGGUUUGAAUUAGAACUGAUAAUGAUGCAGACUUUCUAAAUCAGGAUCUUAGAUUGUAACUAGUAAUCUGUACUUAAAAAACUGUAUUGAUAUUUAUAAUAUUCAGGGAGUUUGAGAAUUAAAGAUUCAAAGGUCGUAGUCUUAUAAUGACAUUAGUUAGAGUGGUGUACAUUAAAAUUAAAAAUGUUAAAAUCAGAACUGUGUUCCAAGCAGGCAAGAAAGAGAAUUACAGAAUUAUAGAUCUAGGUAAGCUCCAAAUCAUCUUCAGCAAUUUAGUGAGGCCCAAAGCAACUUAGCAAGACCCUGUCUCAAAAUGAUAUAUAAAAAAGGUUGAAGAUAUGGAAUGGUAAAGCAUCCCUGUGUUCAACCCCUGGUACCAGAAGGAAAAAAAAACACCUAAAAACUCUAUGUAUAAAAACUUAUUUAGAAAAUGGUAAUUCCAAGUAAGAAAUGAACUAUCUAGGAACAUGUCAAGGAACAUGAGAUCAAUAGGGGAAUGUUUCAUUUACCAAAUAGCAAAGAAAUAUUUUUAAGACAAAUCUUAAAUUUUAAGUUUCUCUGAAAAUCUUAAAGUACUUGUUUUUUUUACCAUUGGACCUAAGGGAAUAUUUUCUUAUAUAUGCUUAAAAGUAAUGACAUUUUAUAACUACUUAAUUUGAAUUUUUAAUAAUUACACAUUGGCUUUCUCUUCCUUUCUUAAUGUUUGGAUUAAGAAUAUUUUUUGAGAUAUUUAAAACAUCAGUGACUAGAUAGUUCAUUUCUUACUUGGAAUUACCAUUUUCUAAUCCUUUCACAGUUCUGCUAGUCACAAGAAUGAUAAAUAAUUUGAAAUGCAUUCAUUUG